rnacentral:lncRNA from 1 species
CAAGUGCCAAGCCAAGGUUACAAAGUCUUACAGUCAUCUGAGCCUCAACAACCAAAUCACCAAUAUGAAAGUAGUAGAUCCUGGAACAGAGAUGUGAGGCUCAGCCCAGAAGCGAGGCUAGCCCAUCUAGCCCUCCAAAAAACCAACCAAAGAGAAAAUAACCUCGACAAGCAAACAAAGGAGAUUUGCUGCAAUAUGAACAUGGUAAAUUUACAUUUCUUGAUUUGUUGUCUGUGCCGAGACAUGAUGUGUGCAGAGGUGAGAGGACACCUUCCAGGAAGGAGUUGGUUCUCUUUUCCCACCACAUGAGGCCCAGGGAUCAGUCAGCCAUGGUGACAAGGGCUUUUACCGGAGUGCUCACAGGAGACAUCUGUCCUAAACCAGAAUCUGCAUUUCAAAAAGGAAGAGGAGGAGGAAGAAGAGGCAGCAGCAACAGUAACAACAACGACAACAAAGUAGACUAAAGUCACACCUAAAAUUUCUUCAGGCAAAGAUAGAAUCAAGCAACAAGUAUCCAGGUGGAACGGCAAGCAAUGAGAAAUAUGCAGACAUUGAGACUUUCCACUCAGUCCUGACGAACUCUCUAGGCUUGGAUGGAGAAGAGACAGGUCCCACAAGGUCAACUGGUUCAGUCAGCUGCAUUCGGGCUGUUUCCUCAUCUGUGAAGGAGUACUAGUGGUAGUGUCUUACUUAUCUCUUAGGCUCAUGGAAAAAAUGAAUGGAGAAGGCACUGCCCAGGGCAGGGUCAAGGGUACAAUAAAAACGUUUGACUUUGCAGAUGCAGCAGCUGUGUCUCUGAGCAGUCAGGUGGUUAAUGAGUAGGACUCCAAUCUGGUCAACCCAAUU